UCCUUCCGGCAGAGAGCCGGAAGUCCACUCCUCUGUGCUUCUCCUGCCUCCGUGAGCAGUGGUGGCCCAGGGAAGUGACACAGAGAAAAAGCGGAAGAUGUCAAGUUCCCUUGUUGUUUCUGUUAAAAUUUUUUGAUGUUCUUCGAUAUAGAAACCUAGUCUUUGUGACUCAGAACCACUUGUCCGAGGCAGGUUUCCCGGCACUUUCCCUCCGUGCCCUGGCUUCCGGUUCUGCUUGGAGACUCUAGCGCACCUGAGCCUGCACGGAAGUGAGAGUCAGUUCUCUGGAUGGCCUGGGUCAUCACUCACCUCCCACUGUGGACCAGUACAGCCCUUCACGGUCCUCUAGGUCGCUGGAUGCUUAACUCUUCAGCCUGGAUGACCUCUGUUUGCCACCCAGACUCUGCUUCCCAACAUCAAAAGGAAACAAAGCAUCACCAGUUAAAGAAGCGACUUUCUUCACUCCUCUUAGUACCAAAGCCGCAAGACCCUUGA
rnacentral:lncRNA from 1 species